UACGUAGGGUGCGAGCGUUAAUCGGAAUUACUGGGCGUAAAGGGUGCGCAGGCGGCCUUUUAAGCUUGCUGUGAAAGCCCCGGGCUUAACCUGGGAACUGCAGUGAGGACUGGAAGGCUAGAGUGUGGCAGAGGGGGGUGGAAUUCCACGUGUAGCAGUGAAAUGCGUAGAGAUGUGGAGGAACACCGAUGGCGAAGGCAGCCCCCUGGGCUAACACUGACGCUCAGGCACGAAAGCGUGGGGAGCAAACAGG
rnacentral:rRNA from 1 species